rnacentral:rRNA from 1 species
GAUGAACGCUGGCGGCGUGCCUAAUACAUGCAAGUCGAGCGAACAGAUAAGGAGCUUGCUCCUUUGACGUUAGCGGCGGACGGGUGAGUAACACGUGGAUAACCUACCUAUAAGACUGGGAUAACUUCGGGAAACCGGAGCUAAUACCGGAUAACAUAUUGAACCGCAUGGUUCAAUAGUGAAAGGCGGCUUUGCUGUCACUUAUAGAUGGAUCCGCGCCGUAUUAGCUAGUUGGUAAGGUAACGGCUUACCAAGGCAACGAUACGUAGCCGACCUGAGAGGGUGAUCGGCCACACUGGAACUGAGACACGGUCCAGACUCCUACGGGAGGCAGCAGUAGGGAAUCUUCCGCAAUGGGCGAAAGCCUGACGGAGCAACGCCGCGUGAGUGAUGAAGGUCUUCGGAUCGUAAAACUCUGUUAUCAGGGAAGAACAAAUGUGUAAGUAACUGCGCACAUCUUGACGGUACCUGAUCAGAAAGCCACGGCUAACUACGUG